rfam:Pan troglodytes isolate Yerkes chimp pedigree #C0471 (Clint) chromosome 17, whole genome shotgun sequence.
GCCAGGCAUGGUGGCUCAUGCCUGUAAUCCAAGCAGUUUGGGAGGCCGAGGCAGGUGGAUCACCUGAGGUCAGGAAUUCGAGACCAGCCUGACCAACAUGGAGAAACCCUGUCUCUA